GACGUAGGGCGCGAGCGUUGUCCGGAUUUAUUGGGCGUAAAGAGCUCGUAGGCGGCUUGUCGCGUCGUCCGUGAAAACCUGCAGCUCAACUGCAGGCUUGCGGUCGAUACGGGCAGGCUGGAGUUCGGUAGGGGAGACUGGAAUUCCUGGUGUAGCAGUGAAAUGCGUAGAUAUCAGGAGGAAUACCGAUGGCGAAGGCAGGUCUCUGGGCUGACACUGACGCUCAUGCACGAAAGCGUGGGGAGCAAACAGG
rnacentral:rRNA from 1 species